AACGUAGGAGACAAACGUUAUCCGGAGUUACUGGGCGUAAAGGGCGUGUAGGUGGUUCUGUAAGUCUGGCGUGAAAUUUCUCGGCUUAACCGAGGCAGGUCGUCGGAUACUGCAGGGCUAGAGGACGGUAGAGGCGUGUGGAAUUCCGGGUGUAGUGGUGAAAUGCGUAGAUAUCACAUAGAACACCAAUUGCGAAGGCAGCUGGCUACACGAAUAUUGACACUGAUGCACGAAAGCGUGGGGAUCAAACAGG
rnacentral:rRNA from 1 species